ACCUACGGGAGGCAGCAGUGAGGAAUAUUGGUCAAUGGACGAGAGUCUGAACCAGCCAAGUAGCGUGAAGGAUGACUGCCCUAUGGGUUGUAAACUUCUUUUAUAUGGGAAUAAAACAGGGUAUGCAUACCCUCUUGUAUGUACCAUAUGAAUAAGGAUCGGCUAACUCCGUGCCAGCAGCCGCGGUAAUACGGAGGAUCCGAGCGUUAUCCGGAUUUAUUGGGUUUAAAGGGAGCGUAGGUGGAUUGUUAAGUCCGUUGGGAAAGUUUGCGGCUCAACCGUAAAAUUGCAGUUGAAACUGGCAGUCUUGAGUACAGUAGAGGUGGGCGGAAUUCGUGGUGUAGCGGUGAAAUGCUUAGAUAUCACGAAGAACUCCGAUUGCGAAGGCAGCUCACUGGACUGCAACUGACACUGAUGCUCGAAAGUGUGGGUAUCAAACAGGAUUAGAUACCCCAGUAGUC
rnacentral:rRNA from 1 species